rnacentral:rRNA from 1 species
CAGCAGCCGCGGUAAUACGUAGGGUGCGAGCGUUAAUCGGAUUUACUGGGCGUAAAGCGUGCGCAGGCGGCCCGUUAAGACAGGUGUGAAAUCCCUGGGCUCAACCUAGGAAUUGCGCUUGUGACUGGCGGGCUCGAGUACGGUAGAGGGGGGUGGAAUUCCUGGUGUAGCAGUGAAAUGCGUAGAGAUCAGGAGGAACACCGAUGGCGAAGGCAGCCCCCUGGGCCUGUACUGACGCUCAUGCACGAAAGCGUGGGGAGCAAACAGGAUUAGAUACCCUGGUAGUCCACGCCCUAAACGAUGGGUACUAGCCGUUUGGUGCGCGAUAGCGCUGAGUGGCGAAGCUAACGCGUGAAGAACCCCGCCUGGGGAGUACGGCCGCAAGGUUGAAACUUAAAGGAAUUGGCGGG